AACGAACGCUGGCGGCAGGCCUAACACAUGCAAGUCGAACGCCCGCAAGGGGAGUGGCAGACGGGUGAGUAACACGUGGGAACAUGCCCUUCGGUACGGAAUAAACUACAGGGAAACGUUGUGCUAAUACCGUAUACGUCCGAGAGGAGAAAGAUUUAUCGCCGAAGGAUUGGCCCGCGUCUGAUUAGCUAGUUGGUGAGGUAAUGGCUCACCAAGGCGACGAUCAGUAGCUGGUCUGAGAGGAUGAUCAGCCACAUUGGGACUGAGACACGGCCCAAACUCCUACGGGAGGCAGCAGUGGGGAAUAUUGGACAAUGGGCGCAAGCCUGAUCCAGCCAUGCCGCGUGAGUGAUGAAGGCCUUAGGGUUGUAAAGCUCUUUUUACCCGGGAAGAUAAUGACUGUACCGGGAGAAUAAGCCCGGCUAACUUCGUG
rnacentral:rRNA from 1 species